rnacentral:lncRNA from 1 species
AUGGAUACUUUUUUCCCCCAGGAAGGCUUGAGGAGGAAAGAUGUGUCCUGUAGUCCAGACUGGCCCACACACGCAGUGACCAUGGACUUGUCCUGUGAAUCUCGUGCUGCAGGAUCUGAUCUUGUAAAGAUAAUUAGAAUCUUGAUUCCAAUGCUUGGCCAUUCCCUGUGGCUUUCUUUUAUGAGUGAGACACAGCCAGCCUCUUCCCCUCCUGGUGAAAUUUACCCAGGCCAUGUGUCCAACUGUUUAACCAUGGAUACAAGAGCUAUGGCCAGAGCGUUUAUAAAGUGAGUGAAGCAUCUAUCUAUUUUUAACCUUAAACUUCGGAUUUUUCCCAUUUUAGUCCUGCGGUGUCUCAUUUCAGCUGUUGUAUUUUGCUUACAUGUCUGUGUCAGGUUGGUCAGGUUUCUGGGGCUACCCAAGAAGUACAGUCAUAACAGCUUCAGUAACUACUAUCCAUAGACUGCCAUGGUGGGAGAGGCAACAUUAAGCUCUGAGUCAGACAGUCCUACUUUGAAUCUCAGCUCUUUCUCUCGUUAGCUUGUCAUAUAACCUAACCUUAUCUUCACCUCACUUUCCUCAUCACCACAAUGGGAAUAGUUAUAGUAUAGCUAUCUCAUAGCCUCAUCAGAAGCAUUAUGUGAACAAAAAGUAUGGAAAGUGCUGAAUAGUACCUUGUUCAUAGAGCUCAGAAAUUCCAAAAGUGGCUGUUACUAUUAUUGUUGUUGAUGUUAUUUACAAAUGACUCUUUGUCAUAUUUUUUAAAUUCUCAUGAAAUUUGUGGCGGAGAGGAAACUGAGACCAUGAGGUAAGUUAAAUGACUGCCCAAGUCACUAUAUAUCUUUCCCUUUUAAGUAUAGUCUUUCAUCUCUUCUCUCAAGUUUAUGGAUUUUAUUGUUGAGAUUAACAUUUAUAAAUGAAAGUCUAAUUGAAAAGAAAUAUAUAUUUAUAUGUGUCAGACUUUUUUUCAAUAUACAAACUGCCUUUUCAAAGGGGAUGAAAUCUCCCUUAGAGUCCUAUCUCACACUGAAAUUCCCAGAAAGUGAUUGUAAAUUGCCUAUGUCAACAACCUGUGUAUGUUCACACAGAAAUAUUUUUCCAUUUUCUUCCAGCUUCUCCUUGCCAUGAACUAAGUCACUGUGUUGCUCUGUUUCCCAAGUAUGGCAUACCUAUGCCUUCUCUAGUCUAACACUGAUAUUUCCUCCAUCAUUGUCUUCACUGAUUUCUCCUUUGCGAAUGUUUCAAAAUUAGAUUACUGUCUCUCAUAAAUUUAAUUCAAACCCUAGACCAGAAUAAGAAGUUAUAAAUUGCAGUCUCUUAUAAUUGCAAACUGGAACAAGCUUGGUCUAUAUUAUUGAAGAAUAUUUGCAUGUGAUUUUUACAGAAUGGUCCAUCCAUCUUCAAAAAUUUUUUUAUGGAAAAGCUUAAUUAGAACUUCUUUCCUUCCUUUCCGUUUUGAUUUUCCCUCUUAUUAUUUUCAUUAUGCCCAUCUUAGACUUUGCUCUUCUCAGAAGCUCCCAGCAGAAUGAAUUUUAAGAGAUGCCUUGAACCAUGUAAAGUAAGUACUUAAGAUCUAGCUACUGUUUGUUGAGAUACUGCUAUAUUCCAAAUAGUGUACCACAUUUCCUUUACCCUCACACCAAUACUAUGAAAUGGUGAUUUUUAUGCUUUUUUUCUUUACAAAUUAGGGAAAACUACAGGUGAGUAAUGUUUAAGAUAAUAAGAAAGAGGUAGGUAACUUUAUUCAAAACACAAACCUCAUUAGGGUUGAGCAGAAGUACAAAAAUAAGUGGAUCUUAUUUUUAUGUCAUUUUUAUGUCAUAAAGGAUGCACACCAGUUUCACAGACAGGCUCAGGGGCACAUUGCCAUCCUUUCCUGUUUACUCGCAGUCUCAAGGGAGCCCUUUUUUUCUUCCCCUGACCCUGAUGAUCUCUUCCUAGAGUUUUAGUGACCAAAGUGCUCCUAUCCCUAUGGAAGUGCCUCAGACAAGUAUGAUAACUUGGUGGUUUAGAAAUAAAAUGGACAAUAUCAGUGAGAAGUAGGGUGGGAUCAAGAUUCCAGAAUAAAGAGGACAUGACCAGAGCACCAAACCUGACCUCAAAGGUAAAGUAAUAACGGGAAAAUACUACCUGGUAAACUAAUAUAGCAAAACUUCCUAGGAGGGUUGAAUAUGAGCCACAAUCAAAGCAAAGAUGGAGAACACGAUCAAAACACAAUCAAGGCAAAGAUGAAGAACAAGUGUAAGGAUACUCAAUAGGUUGUGAUGAAUACCUUCAGCACAUCUGGGGAGCUUUGGACACCACCUGAAGUCAUCGAAUCUUGCCACUGUGAGUUACCUCUGUUCUCCUUUUCGAGCUUUUUCACUAAGUCCUUGUAGGGAAAAGAAUGCCCACUGGACACUGACUUUUCCUUGUAUCAUGUUCCUUAGAGAGACAGGAAUGGGAAGAGCAUGGAUGUUAGACUCCAACAGAACUGGGUUCCAGUCAUACCACUUGCUUACAAUAUGACUCUGAAACAUUCGCUUCUGUAUUUUUAGCUUAUUUUCCUUUUUAGCCAAAUGAGGAUAACAUCUAGUCUAGUUAUUGUGAGUACUGGAGCUAAUACACUACAUAAUUAUCAAUUGAUGAAUGUCAAUUCUAGGUUAACAUGGAUGGAAAGAUUAGAUACAAUGAAAAACUGAGAUAAAUGUAAACGGAUUACUCUUUAAUAUGAUACAGAAAGAAGUCAGCACAUUCAGGAAUAGAGAAGAGAGACUGACAUCUCUCAAUUCCAGGCAGUUACUUGUUUCUGGCUUACUGUUAACAUGGCAUCAGCAGUAGGCAUGCAGUUGAGGAGAACAAGUGAGAAAGGAGGAGCUAGAUCUUGCUGCCUGCCUCCACAUCCAGUCUAUGUACCCAAGACUUCAACAGUUCUAUACUUAACAUUAAUCAGGACUGGUGCUAGGCACUACUUCCCCAGACCCAGGAUAAUAACCAAUGGCUACAGAAAAGGGGAACAGAACAGUGACCUCAAGCACUCUUAUAACCCUCACAUGUGGGCCUGAACCUCUCCAGGCCUAUUUCAUGCACUUUCCUUAACUAGAGCUGCCAAACUGGAAUGAGAGUCAGUAACCCACAUGCCUCUGGUGUCAGGUCAAUAAGCCCUUAGGCUCCCCCCAGGAGCUGUUAAACAUUAAUGUAGAGCACCUGUUACUAAGUAGUUAUAACAUCAUAGCAGUUAUCAUUAUUGUCAUCAUCAUCAUCAUCAUCAUCACUAUUAUUAUUUGUGUUUCUCUUUUUCUUAUCGGAUGACCAUUGGCCUCUUAGUUGACACAUUCAUCAAACUUUUUUUGAGUGUUUACUAUACACUAUGUACCACACCAGGCACUGGUAAUCCACUGUUGAAAAAGAUACUUACAGCACCUGCCCUCAUGGACCUAAAAAGAUCAUUUUGGUGCAAUGUGAUAAUUGUCAUAAUGGAGGAAUUACAGAGUGUUUUGGGAAAACCUAAAAGGAGCACUUAACUCAGAUUUAGAAACAGAAACAAGAGCCAAAUUUGGAAACUGGGCAUUUCUCUUAUUCAUUUAUUCAAUUACCUUUACUCAUUCAACAAAUAUUUAUUAGACAGAGCUUUCCAAUAAAAAUAUACAUGAGC